AUUGAACGCUGGCGGCAGGCCUAACACAUGCAAGUCGAGCGGAUGAAGGGAGCUUGCUCCUGGAUUCAGCGGCGGACGGGUGAGUAAUGCCUAUGAAUCUGCCUGGUAGUGGGGGAUAACGUCCGGAAACGGGCGCUAAUACCGCAUACGUCCUGCGGGAGAAAGUGGGGGAUCUUCGGACCUCACUCUCUCAGAUGAGCCUAGGUCGGAUUAGAUAGUUGGUGGGUUAAAGGCCUACCAAGGCGACGAUCCGUAACUGGUCUGAGAGGAUGAUAAGUCACCUGGGAGGUGAAACAGGGACAAGGGGCCUAAGAGAGGCAGCAGAGGGGAACGGUAGACAGUGGGCGAAAGCCUGAUACAGCCGGGGCGAGUGUGAGAAGGAAGUGUUGGGAGAGUAAAGAACGUUAAGUGGGGAGGAACCGCAGUAAGCAGAGAACAAGCGGAAGUGACGUUACCAGCAGAAAAAGCGCCGGCUAACUACGUG
rnacentral:rRNA from 1 species